UUAUCAGUCAUGCAUAGCAUAUCAAUAAGCGGAGGAAAAGAAACUAACAAGGAUUCCCUUAGUAACGGCGAGUGAAGCGGGAAGAGCUCAAAUUUGAAAUCUUCAAGGUUUUACCUUGACGAAUUGUAGUUUAAAGAAGUGUUUUCUGUUGAAGUUUUGGUAAAAGUUCUUUGGAAUAGGACAUCAUAGAGGGUGAGAAUCCCGUAUUUGACCAUUACUUUCAGCUUUGUGAUACACUUUCAAAGAGUCGGAUUGUUUGGGAAUGCAGUCCAAAAUGGGUGGUAAAUUUCAUCUAAAGCUAAAUAUUGGCGAGAGACCGAUAGCGAACAAGUACCGUGAGGGAAAGAUGAAAAGAACUUUGAAAAGAGAGUUAAACAGUACGUGAAAUUGUCAAAAGGGAAGCGUUUGACACCAGUGUUGUUUUCUCGAAAAUCAAUUAAAAAGAGUUGGAUUUUGUGUUGUAUUGACUUUAUCAGCUUUCUUCACUCUUUUCCAGCUUUUUUUAAUGCACUUUUCGUUUAACAAGUCAACAUCAGUUUCUUUUGUUGUAAAAAGGUCAUUGGAAGGUGGCUUUCUCUUCGGAGAAAGUGUUUAUAGCCUUUGACUCAUGCAAUCGGAGAGACUGAGGUCUGCAGCGUAGAUCCUUCGGGGUUAGAUACAUUUGUGCUAAGUUAUAGCUUUUCAUAGACAACUUGUUGACUAUGUUUAGUCUUGUAGCUUACUCGCUUAUGCUAUUUUACCUACGCUUAGGAUGUUGAACUCUAUCACACACAG
rnacentral:rRNA from 1 species